CCACUUCUUUUCUUUUCGCUUUGAAGGAAGGAGGAGAUUACGGAAAUGACCCUGCCUCUCCUGCACAACACCAGCUACAGGAGGGAGCGGUGACAAUAGCAAUAGGGUUGACGCGCACGGUACACGGACGUGUGCUGCAGUCUGCACUGCAUAAAGAAAAAAUACAAUCAUCAUUGCGUUUCGCAGCAAAAAGCCUGAUCUUCAAUUUAAUUAUCAAACUUUCUCCCUCCCACUCUCCCACCCUCUUUAACAUUUUACCUUUUUAACACUUUUC
rnacentral:lncRNA from 1 species